CGCCUGCAGGCGCGCGCGGAGGAGUGGAGAUGAUGGAGUUUAAACUGAAUUAAAACCAGGAAGAGAAGAAAAAGGAAGGAAAAGAUGGAGGAUUUAAUGAAUAUAAAGAAGGUUUGUGAGUGAACAGGAUUCUGUCCACUCCCUCUCUCUGCUGGACUUCCUUUAGGUCGAGAUUUGAUCCUUUAUUCUACUUCAGAAUCAAACAUCAGGAUGGAGAGAGACGUCUGACUCAAAGACCCCUGAGUCAUGAAAGGCCCGACCAAGAAUCACUUUCACAGCCUAGAGAAGUGGCAACUCUGGAUCCAAGCUAGCUACCUUUCCUAAUUCCGGGAGACCUGGCUUGUGUCCACCCAAAGGGAUGACCAGGAAGGACCAAAACCUUGUAGGUCUUCAACUUCCAAGGAUUGCCAUGAGGACUAGAUGUAUUCUCAAUUCAGAGCUAUACCGUACAAUGGCACGGGGAGUACCCUGCUAACUCCCGUUAAGGAGGCUGGUUUGUAGAAAUGUUGAAUGUGAUCGUGUUUGACCAGAAGGGGCUGAAUUUGCUGCAGGAUGUGGAGCAGUACCGGUACAGUUAGGACACUGCAUGAGCAAGAAGUUUCUGGGCAGGCCUUAUUGAUUGCUCCCUAAACUCCACCAACACGUUAAGUGUGCUACUAAGGGAGCUAACAGACUGGACAAGGUCUACUCCAACAUUAAGAAUGGCUAUAGGGCUAAGCCACUACCACACCUGGGCCAGUCUGAACACCAUCACUAGCUUCAUUUGUAUAUUCUUCCCAAGACUUCAGCCCACGGUUGGAAAGUAGACAAAACUGGGGCUACGGGAACCAUUUAGUUCAUGGAAGAGUGGUUCUCUGUGCUUAAAGUUCCUUGAACUUCUGGUCAAA